UUUGAUGGAGCAACGCCGCGUGAGUGAAGAAGGGUUUCGGAUCGUAAAACUCUGUUGUUAAAGAAGAACAUAUCUGAGAGUAACUGUUCAGGUAUUGACGGUAUUUAACCAGAAAGCCACGGCUAAUUACGUGCCAGCAGCCGCGGUAAUACGUAGGUGGCAAGCGUUGUCCGGAUUUAUUGGGCGUAAAGCGAGCGCAGGCGGUUUUUUAAGUCUGAUGUGAAAGCCUUCGGCUCAACCGAAGAAGUGCAUCGGAAACUGGGAAACUUGAGUGCAGAAGAGGACAGUGGAACUCCAUGUGUAGCGGUGAAAUGCGUAGAUAUAUGGAAGAACACCAGUGGCGAAGGCGGCUGUCUGGUCUGUAACUGACGCUGAGGCUCGAAAGUAUGGGUAGCAAACAGGAUUAGAUACCCUGGUAGUCCAUACCGUAAACGAUGAAUGCUAAGUGUUGGAGGGUUUCCGCCCUUCAGUGCUGCAGCUAACGCAUUAAGCAUUCCGCCUGGGGAGUACGGCCGCAAGGCUGAAACUCAAAGGAAUUGACGGGGGCCCGCACAAGCGGUGGAGCAUGUGGUUUAAUUCGAAGCUACGCGAAGAACCUUACCAGGUCUUGACAUACUAUGCAAAUCUAAGAGAUUAGACGUUCCCUUCGGGGACAUGGAUACAGGUGGUGCAUGGUUGUCGUCAGCUCGUGUCGUGAGAUGUUGGGUUAAGUCCCGCAACGAGCGCAACCCUUAUUAUCAGUUGCCAGCAUUAAGUUGGGCACUCUGGUGAGACUGCCGGUGACAAACCGGAGGAAGGUGGGGAUGACGUCAAAUCAUCAUGCCCCUUAUGACCUGGGCUACACACGUGCUACAAUGGAUGGUACAACGAGUUGCGAACUCGCGAGAGUAAGCUAAUCUCUUAAAGCCAUUCUCAGUUCGGAUUGUAGGCUGCAACUCGCCUACAUGAAGUCGGAAUCGCUAGUAAUCGCGGAUCAGCAUGCCGCGGUGAAUACGUUCCCGGGCCUUGUACACACCUCCCGUCUACACCGUGAGAGUUAUAUCGUCAUAAUGUCUCUGGGAAUAUCGUAGCCUGC
rnacentral:rRNA from 1 species